GGGCCCUUGGCACAGUUGGUAGCGCGUACGCUUCGCAUCUCGAGAAUGCGUAAGGUCGUGGGUUCGACUCCCACAGUGUCCA
rfam:Coniophora puteana RWD-64-598 SS2 unplaced genomic scaffold CONPTscaffold_11, whole genome shotgun sequence.